UACGGAGGGUGCAAGCGUUAAUCGGAAUUACUGGGCGUAAAGCGUGCGCAGGCGGUUUGUUAAGUCUGCUGUGAAAUCCCCGAGCUCAACUUGGGAAUUGCAGUGGAUACUGGCAAGCUAGAGUAUGGUAGAGGAAGGUGGAAUUCCCGGUGUAGCAGUGAAAUGCGUAGAGAUCGGGAGGAACACCAGUGGCGAAGGCGGCCUUCUGGACCAAUACUGACGCUGAGGAGCGAAAGCGUGGGGAGCGAACAGG
rnacentral:rRNA from 1 species